AAUGAACGCUGGCGGCAGGCCUAACACAUGCAAGUCGAGCGGCGCGGCGGACGGGUGAGUACUGCCUAGGGAUCUGCCUGGUGGUGGGGGAUAACGUCCGGAAGCGGGCGCUAUUGCCCCAUACUUUCAAAUGAGCCUAGGUCGGAUUAGCUAGUUGGUGGGGUCAAGGCCUACCAAGGCGGCGAAGCGUAACUGGUCUGAGAGGAUGAUCAGUCACACUGGGACUGAGACACGGCACAGACUCCUACGGGAGGCAGCAGUGGGGAAUAUUGGGCAAUGGACGAAAGUCUGACCCAGCCAUGCCGCGUGAGUGAAGAAGGUUUUCGGAUUGUAAAGCACUGUUAGUAGAGAAGCGUUACCUACAGAAUAAGCACCGGCUAACUACGUGCCAGCAGCCGCGGUAAUUC
rnacentral:rRNA from 1 species